rnacentral:rRNA from 1 species
GACGGGGGGGGCAAGUGUUCUUCGGAAUGACUGGGCGUAAAGGGCACGUAGGCGGCGAAUCGGGUUGAAAGUGAAAGUCGCCAAAAAAGUGGCGGAAUGCUCUCGAAACCAAUUCACUUGAGUGAGACAGAGGAGAGUGGAAUUUCGUGUGUAGGGGGUGAAAAUCCGUAGAUCUACGAAGGAAUGCCAAAAGCGAAGGCAGCUCUCUGGGUCCCUACCGACGCUGGGGUGCGAAAGCAUGGGGAGCGAACAGG